UACGUAGGGGGCAAGCGUUGUCCGGAAUCAUUGGGCGUAAAGAGCGUGUAGGCGGCCCGAUAAGUCCGCUGUGAAAGUCCAGGGCUCAACCCUGGAAUGCCGGUGGAUACUGUCGGGCUCGAAUCCGGAAGAGGUGAGUGGAAUUCCGUGGUGUAGCGGUGAAAUGCGCAGAUAUCAGGAGGAACACCAAUGGCGAAGGCAGCUCACUGGGACGGUAUUGACGCUGAGACGCGAAAGCGUGGGGAGCAAACAGG
rnacentral:rRNA from 1 species